CGUUUUCGAAAACGAUACACGUGUAGUUCAUUGACACGUUUUGCGAAUUCACGUGGCCGGUGGUGAGCGUAGACAUUGCUGUCUUUCAAGUCAUUAUUUUUUUAUCAGUCGCAUUUUGUAUAGCCCGAGAUUGUACUGUUGCUAUUGGAUCAGUCGCAUUUUGUAUAUCCCGAGAUUGUACAGGUACUAUUGGAUCGAAAUAACAUAAUGAUCCCAAUUAAGAUUCGCAAAUUUGGGUUGUGUCCUCGUGUACCGGUACACAAAGGAACGAAACAUUAACGAACUGUGUCACAACUCCAUGUAUGGAUAUGAAAACAAUAGGAAUUCCCCCGUGUACCGGUACACCAGGACAGCCCCCAAAUUUGGUCCAGUCACAAGCUUGGAACCCGAUUCCUCACGAGGAAUAAACGUAAACACGUUUUCUGUGAAAUUUACGUGGCAUGUCACGCUUAUGUUUGUAGAAGGCCUUUACGUUGAAUCGCACAGUUUAAGUCACGUUGAAUGUUUACAUCUAGUUUGGAGCAAAACUCCCGUGUAAGGUUUACUUCCAGUUUGCAUCACACAUCGCUGGGCUCUUUAUCUGCACAGCUCCUAGAUACGAUUUUAUCUGAGAACAUGAAUAUCGGUUGGUUAAAUGGUUACUUUUCGAUCACCUCAUCCGAAAAAGAUCGACGCACGUUCUUGAGCACAUGCUUAAAAAACCACGUGAAUAAAAAAUGUGACUUUGAGAGUUCCCAUGCUAAUAUAAAAUACACAUAUAAUUAAAACUCGUCGAGACCGCUUUUCAGUCUGUGCAAAGUAGACCAACGAAUUUUCAGUGCAGAGAAACAAGGCAGAAAGAAGUUGUCCCUGCUGUUUAUUUUUUUUGAAAUAUUCCUUCAAGUAUCAAUGAUGUCUUGAAUCUUUGGCUCAAGUGCAGUCACCUGUACAAUCAUCAGGAUAGGAUUCACGAAAAGCAAAAAAUGUAUUCUUUAAAGACUCAGCAUACGAAAGACCUCAGCAGCUGCGAUGAUUCUUAGAAUAACCUUUUUGUCAUCUUUAAGGGUCAGUUACGAGUUCAGAAAAAGCUCUUCAGGGCUUUUAAGAAAAAAAAAGAUUAGCAAUGAAAUAGAAGACAUACCCAAAGAUUCAAGACGUCGAUACCUGAUGUAAUGUUUCAAGACAUAAACUGCUUUUCGGUCGUUUCCAUACACUAAAGAUUCGCUGGUCUAGUUUGCAUAGACGGAAAACCCGUCUCAAUAAACUUUACAUACCCUA